GAUGAAGAACGUAGCGAAAUGCGAUACGUAAUGUGAAUUGCAGAAUUCAGUGAAUCAUCGAGUCUUUGAACGCACAUUGCGCCCCCUGGUAUUCCGGGGGGCAUGCCUGUCCGAGCGUCAUUGCUGCCCUCAAGCUCGGCUUGUGUGUUGGGCCUCCGUCCUCCUCCCGGGGGACGGGCCCGAAAGGCAGCGGCGGCACCGCGUCCGGUCCUCGAGCGUAUGGGGCUUCGUCACCCGCUCUUGUAGGCCCGGCCGGCGCUUGCCGACACAUCAAUCUUUUUUCCAGGUUGACCUCGGAUCAGGUAGGGAUACCCGCUGAACUUAAGCAUAUCAAUAAGCGGAGGA
rnacentral:misc_RNA from 1 species